GGAUGUGAGGGCGAUCUGGCUGCGACAUCUGUCACCCCAUUGAUUGCCAGGGUUGAUUCGGCUGAUCUGGCUGGCUAGGCGGGUGUCCCCCUCCUCCCUCACCGAUCCAUGUGCGUCCCUCCCGAAGCUGCGCGCUCGGUCGAAGAGGACGACCUUCCCCCCCCCCCGAGGAGAGGACCGGUCUUCGGUCAAGGGUAUACGAGUAGCUGCACUCCCCUGCUAGAACCUCCAAACAAGCUCUCAAACACAAAUCAGAACGUGUAAUUUGGUAUUUAUUUGUGGCAUUUCUUUAAUGCUGGUCUCCCCACUAUGUGGGAGGCUCCAUCAGAG
rnacentral:snRNA from 1 species